UGCCUAAGAUCAGAUCGGGAUCGAACUGAACUUCGAGAAGAUAGAGAAAUCAACAGAAAAGGACGUAUUCAAAAUAUAAUGAACAAAACUAGAGGUAAUUCCUAAUCAGAACUGGAAAUACAGCAAAACAGCAUGCCUAAGAUCAGAUUGGGAUCAAACUGAACUUCAAGAAGAUAGAGAAAUCAACAGAAAAGGACGGAUUCGAAAUAUAAUGAACAAAAUUAGAGGUAAUUCCUUAAUCAGAACUGGAAACACAGCAAAAUAGCAUGCCCAAGAUCAGAUCGGGAUCAAACUGAACUUCGAGAAGAUAGAGAAAUCAAUAGAAAAGGACGGAUUCGAAAUAUAGUGAACAAAAUUAGAGGUAAUUCCUUAAUCAGAACUGGAAAUACA
rnacentral:lncRNA from 1 species